rnacentral:rRNA from 1 species
AUUAGAUAAAAAACCAAUGCCCUUCGGGGCUCCUUGGUGAUUCAUAAUAACUUAACGAAUCGCAUGGCCUUGCGCCGGCGAUGGUUCAUUCAAAUUUCUGCCCUAUCAACUUUCGAUGGUAAGAUAGUGGCUUACCAUGGUCUCAACGGGUAACGGGGAAUUAGGGUUCUAUUCCGGAGAGGGAGCCUGAGAAACGGCUACCACAUCCAAGGAAGGCAGCAGGCGCGCAAAUUACCCAAUCCCAAUUCGGGGAGGUAGUGACAAUAAAUACUGAUACGGGGCUCUUUCGGGUCUCGUAAUUGGAAUGAGUACAAUCUAAAUCCCUUAACGAGGAACAAUUGGAGGGCAAGUCUGGUGCCAGCAGCCGCGGUAAUUCCAGCUCCAAUAGCGUAUAUUAAAGUUGUUGCCGUUAAAAAGCUCGUAGUUGAACCUUGGACCUGGCUGAUCUGUCCUCCUAAUCGAGCGCACGGAUUCGGUCGGGUCUUUCCUUCUGGGGAGCCCUAUGCCCUUCACUGGG